GGUCAAGUUAUUAAGGGUGCAGGGCGGAUGCCUUGGCACUAGGAGCCGAUGAAGGACGUGAUAAGCUGCGAUAAGCUUCGGGGAGUUGCACGUAAACUUUGAUCCGAAGAUUUCCGAAUGAGGAAACUCACUUAGAGUAAUGUCUAAGUAUCAUUAAGUGAAUACAUAGCUUAAUGAGGGGAACUCAGGGAACUGAAACAUCUAAGUACCUGAAGGAAGAGAAAGAAAUUCGAUUCCGUAAGUAGCGGCGAGCGAACGCGGAUUAGCCCAAACCAAUAAAGUUUUCUUUAUUGGGGUUGCGGACAUAUCAUAACGAAGAGGUAUCGUAAUUGAAGAGGUUUGGAAAGACCCACCACAGAAGGUAAUAGUCCUGUAUGUUAAACGAGAAGACUUUAGAUAUGAUCCAGAGUACCACGGGACACGUGAAACCCUGUGGGAAGCAGGAGGGACCACCCUCCAAGGCUAAAUACUACCUAGUGACCGAUAGCGUAUAGUACCGUGAGGGAAAGGUGAAAAGAACCCCGGGAGGGGAGUGAAAUAGAACCUGAAACCCUGCACUUACAAGCUGUGGAAGCACAUUUCUUGUGUGACCGCGUACUUUUUGUAGAACGGGCCAACGAGUUACGUUAAGUAGCAAGGUUAAGCACUUAAGGUGCGGAGCCGUAGCGAAAGCGAGUUUUAACUGAGCGUUCAGUUA
rnacentral:rRNA from 1 species